AAAAAAAAACACUCUCUUUCUUUCUUUGCCGGCGAUGGCGAUGGCGAUUUGGUAAAGUUUUUCUCCGGCGAUUGAGGCAGACGACGACGACUGAGGGAAGAAUUGAGUGGUUAGGCCGGGAAUGAUGAUGCAUCGCAUGUCUCGUUCGGGAAUGAGAGAGAUCACUGCAAAUUGGAGAUCCAAAUUCAAUGGAUGGAGAGUAAUCGAUUCAGCUUGGAUGGUAAUUGUUUUGCUAAUAACUUAGACCUAUGUGGACCUGGAGCAAUAGCUGGUGGAGUUGCUGCAGGUGCUGCUUUGCUGUUUGAUGCUCCUGCAAUAGCCUUUGCUUGUAGGCGACGAAGAAAGCCACAAGAUAUUUUCUUCUCUGUCCCUGGUGAGUUUAUUAUUCGCAUUAGUUUCUAUUAAGUUAUUGGAUUUGAACAAUUCUUAGCCAACAAUUCUUAGUAAUUACUUGAAUCAUUUUGAUUUUUUAAUGUUAUGUUAAUAUUUCUUUCUUUUUUCUCUGUUUUGGUGAGGUUAAAUGGAGUGGUUGAAACUACAAAUCUCACAAGUGGAGAAGGCAUCGAUUUAACAGCCUCUAAAUGAAGAUGCCAAAGAGAGCAAUGUGUGCAAGUGGUUCAAUGUCUGAUGCCAAAGAGAUCAAUAUGUACCACAAAUAAUUUGUAUGUUUUUUGUGAACCACGAACUUUAUUCUAGCAAAUUUGUACCACAAACGAGCUUAUUCUUUGUGUACCACAAACUUUAUUCUUUAUGUUUUGCCUUUGCUAUAAAUAAUAUCCAUCGU